GUCCAGUGAGUGCUGGUAUCAUUCAGACUCCCAAAUCAUUGAUCCUAAAGGCAGGACAACAUGUGACAGUCAGAUAUACUCUGGAUAUGAAACAUGACUCCAAGCUUUGGUACUGACAGGAUCUAUGGUUGGGACUAAGAGUAAUCUAAUAUUUGUAUGAUGCUGGCAUCAUCAACAAAGAAGAAGUCUCUGAGGGGUACAGUAUCUCCAUAUCAUGUACAGAGGACUUCACCUUCAUUGUGGAAUUGGCCUCUCUCUCCCAGACAUAUGUGUACUUCUGUGCCAGCAGUUAUACCACAGAGCUCUGGGGCUGCGUCCUUUCUGCACAGAUACUUAUAGAGAAGAGGCACCCCAUCUCUGGGAACUCAGUGGCACAUUGGCGUUCUCAACACUGAAACCUUGGAGCUGUGAAUAUUCUGGGCUGUAUACACUUCAGGUCUCUUCUGAGGGGCAUCUUUUGCAGGAGAUGGUGGAAUCACCCAGACACCUAGAGACUGGAUAACAAAGAC
rnacentral:lncRNA from 1 species